rnacentral:lncRNA from 1 species
GUUGAAGUGAGUUAUGAUGGCCCCUGUUGGUGUUGACCAAAAAUGUUGACAUGAAUGAUCGGGAGCACUGUACAAAUUCCUGCCUGUUGCCCACCACCCACUGCCAAGACUUGAAAUGGAGCCAAGUUUCUCCAUGUGAAAGUCAUCAGGGAUGAGACAUAGAGUUUGUUGUCACUGGCACAAAGUAAACAAGUUACCCAGAGCUUACUGGAAAUGCAUGCCAUACAAACAAGAUGCUGAGGUGACCAGGACCUCAUGCUGUUGCUCCUGUGCCCCGUUGCUCU